GAGUUUGAUCAUGGCUCAGAUUGAACGCUGGCGGCAGGCUUAACACAUGCAAGUCGAGCGGAGAUGAGGUGCUUGCACCUUAUCUUAGCGGCGGACGGGUGAGUAAUGCUUAGGAAUCUGCCUAUUAGUGGGGGACAACAUUCCGAAAGGAAUGCUAAUACCGCAUACGUCCUACGGGAGAAAGCAGGGGAUCUUCGGACCUUGCGCUAAUAGAUGAGCCUAAGUCGGAUUAGCUAGUUGGUGGGGUAAAGGCCUACCAAGGCGACGAUCUGUAGCGGGUCUGACGAGGAUGAUCCGCCACACUGGGACUGAGACACGGCCCAGACUCCUACGGGAGGCAGCAGUGGGGAAUAUUGG
rnacentral:rRNA from 1 species